rnacentral:rRNA from 1 species
AUUGAACGCGGGCGGCAUGCCUUACACAUGCAAGUCGAACGGUAACAGGUCUUCGGAUGCUGACGAGUGGCGAACGGGUGAGUAAUACAUCGGAACGUGCCCGAUCGUGGGGGAUAACGAAGCGAAAGCUUUGCUAAUACCGCAUACGAUCUACGGAUGAAAGCAGGGGACCGCAAGGCCUUGCGCGAACGGAGCGGCCGAUGGCAGAUUAGGUAGUUGGUGGGAUAAAAGCUUACCAAGCCGACGAUCUGUAGCUGGUCUGAGAGGACGACCAGCCACACUGGGACUGAGACACGGCCCAGACUCCUACGGGAGGCAGCAGUGGGGAAUUUUGGACAAUGGGCGAAAGCCUGAUCCAGCCAUGCCGCGUGCAGGAUGAAGGCCUUCGGGUUGUAAACUGCUUUUGUACGGAACGAAAAGACUCUGGUUAAUACCUGGGGUCCAUGACGGUACCGUAAGAAUAAGCACCGGCUAACUACGUGCCAGCAGCCGCGGUAAUACGUAGGGUGCAAGCGUUAAUCGGAAUUACUGGGCGUAAAGCGUGCGCAGGCGGUUAUAUAAGACAGAUGUGAAAUCCCCGGGCUCAACCUGGGAACUGCAUUUGUGACUGUAUAGCUAGAGUACGGCAGAGGGGGAUGGAAUUCCGCGUGUAGCAGUGAAAUGCGUAGAUAUGCGGAGGAACACCGAUGGCGAAGGCAAUUCCCUGGGCCUGUACUGACGCUCAUGCACGAAAGCGUGGGGAGCAAACAGG